UUUAGACUUAAGAGCUAUUCAAAUAAGGCACAGCUUAUUUGAAAUAGGACACAACCUACAACAUAGGGUAAACUAGAGUGACCUAAAUAAAGUGGGCCUAAAAGCAGCCACCUUUAGAAAAGCGUUAAAGCUUAACUACCUUCACUCAUAAUGCCUAAAAUCUCCACUAACCCUUCAUUACUACUGAACAAUUUUAUACUCAUAUAAAAGCUAUCAUGCUAGAACUAGUAACAAGAAACUGCUUUUCUCCUAAAUGUAAACAUAAACCAAAAUAGACUCUCUAUUGGUUAUUAACGUAAAUGCUAAACUGUAGCAACACUCACUAGAAAAUCCUAUAAACCCCAACGUUAACCUUACACCAGAACAUUACAGGAAAGAUUAAAAGAAAAAGAAGGAACUCGGCAAAUUUUAGCCUCGCCUGUUUACCAAAAACAUCGCCUCUUGACAAAACAUAAGAGGUCCAGCCUGCCCAGUGACAAAGUUCAACGGCCGCGGUACCCUAACCGUGCAAAGGUAGCACAAUCACUUGUUCUUUAAAUGAGGACUCGUAUCAACGGCACUACGAGGGCUAUACUGUCUCCUUUUUCUAAUCAGUGAAACUGAUCUCCCCGUGAAGAAGCGGGGAUUAUAAUAUAAGACGAGAAGACCCCAUGGAGCUUUAAACUCACCAUGCACCUCUGUGCUCCUAUACCCCUAAACACAACAGACCUGCAUGUUAGUUUUAGGUUGGGGUGACCACGGAGUAUAACUUAACCUCCACAGCAAACGGGCUAAUACCCUUAUCCACGAGACACAACUCUAAGAAUUACUAAACUAAUGCUUACGACCCGAUAUUCGAUCCAUGAACCAAGUUACCCUGGGGAUAACAGCGCAAUCUACUUCAAGAGCCCAUAUCGACAAGUAGGUUUACGACCUCGAUGUUGGAUCAGGGUAUCCCGGUGGUGCGAGCCG
rnacentral:rRNA from 1 species